GUUACGAUUUGAUGCAAGGUUAAGCAGUAAAUGUGGAGCCGUAGCGAAAGCGAGUCUGAAUAGGGCGUUUAGUAUUUGGUCGUAGACCCGAAACCAGGUGAUCUACCCUUGGUCAGGUUGAAGUUCAGGUAACACUGAAUGGAGGACCGAACCGACUUACGUUGAAAAGUGAGCGGAUGAACUGAGGGUAGCGGAGAAAUUCCAAUCGAACCUGGAGAUAGCUGGUUCUCUCCGAAAUAGCUUUAGGGCUAGCCUCAAGUGAUGAUUAUUGGAGGUAGAGCACUGUUUGGACGAGGGGCCCCUCUCGGGUUACCGAAUUCAGACAAACUCCGAAUGCCAAUUAAUUUAACUUGGGAGUCAGAACAUGGGUGAUAAGGUCCGUGUUCGAAAGGGAAACAGCCCAGACCACCAGCUAAGGUCCCAAAAUAUAUGUUAAGUGGAAAAGGAUGUGGCGUUGCCCAGACAACUAGGAUGUUGGCUUAGAAGCAGCCAUCAUUUAAAGAGUGCGUAAUAGCUCACUAGUCGAGUGACACUGCGCCGAAAAUGUACCGGGGCUAAACAUAUUACCGAAGCUGUGGAUUGUCCUUUGGACAAUGGUAGGAGAGCGUUCUAAGGGCGUUGAAGCAUGAUCGUAAGGACAUGUGGAGCGCUUAGAAGUGAGAAUGCCGGUGUGAGUAGCGAAAGACGGGUGAGAAUCCCGUCCACCGAUUGACUAAGGUUUCCAGAGGAAGGCUCGUCCGCUCUGGGUUAGUCGGGUCCUAAGCUGAGGCCGACAGGCGUAGGCGAUGGAUAACAGGUUGAUAUUCCUGUACCACCUAUAAUCGUUUUAAUCGAUGGGGGGACGCAGUAGGAUAGGCGAAGCGUGCGAUUGGAUUGCACGUCUAAGCAGUAAGGCUGAGUAUUAGGCAAAUCCGGUACUCGUUAAGGCUGA
rnacentral:rRNA from 1 species